rnacentral:rRNA from 1 species
AUUGAACGCUGGCGGCAGGCCUAACACAUGCAAGUCGAGCGAGCGACGGUCGGGGGAGGCAUGUCUAUGAAAAUGACUGUGGGCGAGGGAUAACAGAUGGAAAAGGUAGCUAAUACCGCAUAAAAUCCGAUAUGCGAAGAUGGGAUUAGCUAGUAGGUGGGGGAAUGACCCACCAAGGCGACGAUCCCUAGACGGUCUGAGAGGGUGACCAGCCACACUGGAACUGAGACACGGUCCAGACUCCUACGUGAGGCAGCAGUGGGGAAUAUUGCACAAUGGGCGAAAGCAUGAUGCAGCCAUGCCGCGUGUGUGAAGAAGGCCUUCGGGUUGUAAAGCACUUUCAGCGGGGAGGCGUUACCCGCAGAAGAAGCACCGGCUAACUCCGUGCCAGCCGCCGCGGUAAUAC